rnacentral:rRNA from 1 species
UACGUAGGGGGGCAAGCGUUGUCCGGAAUCAUUGGGCGUAAAGAGCGUGUAGGCGGCCAGAAAAGUCCGCUGUGAAAACUCGAGGCUCAACUUCGAGCUGUCGGUGGAAACUUUCUGGCUAGAGUCCGGAAGAGGAGAAUGGAAUUCCUGGUGUAGCGGUGAAAUGCGCAGAUAUCAGGAAGAACACCGGUGGCGAAGGCGGUUCUCUGGGCGAUGUCCUGACGCUGGAGGAGCGAAAGAUGUGGGGAGGGCGAAACAGG